rnacentral:lncRNA from 7 species
AGUGACCUCCUGGGCACUGUAUUGGUUGGAAGGAAGAGCUGGGGACCACCUACUGCCUUCAAUGGAGAAGAGGCAGCGGGACCAUGUCCUGAUGAUCCAAGGAAAGCUUAGAGAAGCAAUUGCCAGGCUUGGGAACCUGUGCCCCCUGCAGCAGCUUGAAAGAGUCAGAUUGGAGUUCAGAGCUCAGAGAAAUGCCAUAGGGUCUUUGGCCACUGUGUUGGCUGGAUCGAAGCUCAGCAUCAUUCCCAGGAUGUGGGAGUAGUGGAAAAGCAUCUCUCUGUCACAGAGAGGGGAUAGGAGAUUUCUAUCUUUGUUUGGGAUUACCUGAGACAUCCUCUGUAUGUGGCAUUGAACUCUAACUCUAGGACUGGAGGCAGCUCAGGGCCCAUUGAGGUCAUCUUCAGCCAUCUCCAGCCCAUGUAUCCCUGCUCUCCUGCCUGCCUUGGUUGCUCUUGCUCCUAUAUCCCACCUCUCAAGCUGCCAUUGCCUCUUUCUGUCUCAUCCAUCUGCAAAGGACCUGUUCCAUGGCUGUGAGCUCUGCCCUCCUUUCUGAGCUUCUUUCAGUGGUGGUGGCUCCAGGGAAGUCCAGGACAGUCCCUUCAUCUCCAUCACAGUCACUCUUUGCGUGAGCUGUCUCACAUAGGGAUGGCUUGGACUGGCUCUAGGAACAUUGUCAAAAGCCUCAAUGAUGUCAAAGAUACUGGUUUCUCCCCGUGGAUUGGCCAAUCCAACUGUAGAUCAGAAAAGUGAAUGACUAACUUUAAGCCUGCCCAUCACACUGUCCAUACAGGCCUCUGCUUGGGUAGAAGAUGGGCUAUAGGGGGCAACAGCUUCAUGAGACCUCCAGCGCAAGCUGGGUGGUGGGUAUUUGUAUUUCAUCCACACUGGAUGAGUUUUUGUGAUUCUCCCUGUGCUGAUGCCCCUCUGGGGGCAGGAAGGGGAGAUGUACAUGGCCUUGGGAUGUGCAGGCUCACAAAAAUGCACCAUUGUGUCAUUU